GAAGGUAGCUUAAUCAAUUGUCUUAGAAUUAAAGACUGCAAUGAAUGGUUAAACGAAAUGAAGGCUGUCUCGUUUAUAUUGUUUAAAAAUUGGCUUUUAAAUGAAGAGAUUUAAAUUUAAUUAAAAGACAAGAAGACCCUAUUGAGCUUUAAAUAAUUUUAAGGUUAUAAUUAUUAUUGAAAAUUUAAAUCUUGAAGAUUUUUUAGUUGGGGCGACUAAGGAACAGAUAAAGCUUCCUAUCACUAUUAUAACUUAUGUGUUUUGACCCAGUACAAUUUGGUUAAAAGAGAUAGUUACCAUAGGGAUAACAGCAUAAUCUUCUUUGAGAGUUCUUAUCGAAAGGAGGGGUUGUGACCUCGAUGUUGGACUAAAAUAUCCUAAAAAUGUAGCAGUUUUUGAAGGUUGGUCUGUUCGACCAUUAAAAUUUUACAU
rnacentral:rRNA from 1 species